rnacentral:rRNA from 1 species
GCUAAUCUGCGAUAAGCGCCGGUAAGGUGAUAUGAACCGUUAUAACCGGCGAUACCCGAAUGGGGAAACCCAGUGUGAUUCGUCACACUAUCAUUAACUGAAUCCAUAGGUUAAUGAGGCGAACCGGGGGAACUGAAACAUCUAAGUACCCCGAGGAAAAGAAAUCAACCGAGAUUCCCCCAGUAGCGGCGAGCGAACGGGGAGGAGCCCAGAGCCUGAAUCAGCAUGUGUGU